UAGGGAAUCUUCCACAAUGGACGCAAGUCUGGUGGAGCAACGCGGCGUGAGUGAAGAAGGUUUUCGGAUCGUAAAUCUCUGUUGUUGGUGAAGAAGGAUAGAGGCAGUAACUGGUCUUUAUUUUACGGUAAUCAACCAGAACGUCACGGCUAACUACGUGCCAGCAGCCGCGGUAAUACGUAGGUGGCAAGCGUUGUCCGGAUUUAUUGGGCGUAAAGCGAGCGCAGGCGGAAUGAUAAGUCUGAUGUGAAAGCCCACGGCUCAAACGUGGAACUGCAUCGGAAACUGUCAUUCUUGAGAGCAGAAGAGGAGAGUGGAAUUCCAUGUGUAGCGGUGGAAUGCGUAGAUAUAUGGAAGAACACCAGUGGCGAAGGCGGCUCUCUGGUCUGCAACUGACGCUGAGGCUCGAAAGCAUGGGUAGCGAACAGG
rnacentral:rRNA from 1 species